AUCCUAAAUUUCGGAAUGAUUGUCUUAUUGGCACUAAUGAUCUGGAAGAGUUAAUGGUAAUAACUAGUAGUGAAAGUCCAAUUGUAGUGGUGCUCAACGGCAGCAUGGAACCUGCAUUUCGUAGAGAAAAUCUUCUCUUUCUAACAAGUCAAGUUGAAGAUCCCAUAUGAGUGGGAAAAAUUGUUGUUUUUAGUAUAGAAGGAAGAGAGAUUCCUAUAGUCCACCGAGACUUGAAGAUUCAUGAAAUGCAAAAUGGGCAUAUCAAGUCUUUGACCAAAGGAGAUAAUGAUGCGCUUGAUGACCGAAGCCUCUAUAAACAAGGACAGCAUUGGCUAGAGAAAAAAGAUGUCAUGGGAAGAGCCAGGGAAUUUGUUCCUUAUCCUGGAAUUGUGACGGUCGUCAUGAAUGACUAUCCUAAAUUUAAGUAUGCAGUGCUCUUUUUGCUGGAUUUAUUUGUGCUGGUCCACCAUGAAUAAGAAGUCUGCCGUGCUGUUUCCGGGAAGAUGCCACGCUUUUUGUUACUGGAUGUUUGGAG